UCCGCCAUGGCUUCCGCCUUGUGCCGCCGCCCCGGACCGCUGGGCGCGGGUGAAAGGUCGCUCAGAGCGGCGCCCGGCGCGACCAUUCGCUGCGGCGCAUCCCGGCAGCCACUGCGGCGACUGGGCGGCGGGUGCCAUGCGCCGGGAGUCUAGCAAUCUCAGCUCCCGCCCACCGCGCCCGCCCGCCCUCCGCGGUCACGCCUCGGACGGCGAGCACCUGCCAAGCAGGUUUCUUAAGCCUUCCUGAUUAACCAUUUGUAUGUGUGGACAAUAGCGAUCAAGCACCCAGUAGAAGAAAUAUUCUCAAAGUUAAAGAAGUUUUUUCUCUAGUCUUGGUGAACCAUGGCACUACCUCCAACCACCAGCAAUCAUAUCUCCUUGAAGCCUAAAGAGAUGACAUGAUACUUUAUAUGGAAAACCCAAAAGACUCUACUCCUAAACUACUAGAACUCAUAAAGCAAUUCAGUAAUGUGGAAGGAUACAAAAUCAAUGUACAGAAAUCAGUUGCUUUCUUAUACACUAACAAUGAAAGUACAGAAAGAGAAAUUAGAGAAUUGAUUCCAUUUACUAUAGAACAAAGAACUAUAAGAUACCUGGGAAUAAACCUAACUAAAGAGGUAAAGGGUCUGUACAUGAGGAACUACAGAACACUCAUGAAAGAAAUUGAAGAAGACACAAUAAGAUGGAAGACCAUUCCAUGCUCAUGGAUCGGAAGAAUAAACAUUGUUGAAAUGUCUAUACUGCCUAGAGCAAUCCAUACUUUCAAUGCCAUCCUGAUCAAAAUUCCACCGGCAUUUUUCUAAGAGCUGAAACAAACAAUCCUAAAAUUUGUAUGGAGCCAGAAGAGACCCCACAUUGCUAAGGAAAUGUUGAAAAAGGAAAGCAAAACUGGGGGCAUCACAUUGCCUGAUUUCAAGCUUUACUACAAAGCUGUGAUCAAGACAGUCUGGUACUGGCACAAAAACAGACACAUAGACCAGUGGAACAGAGUAGAGAGCCCAGAUAUGGACCCUCAACUCUAAGGUCAAAUACUCUACGACAAAGCGGGAAAAAUUAUACAGUGGAAAAAAGACAGUCUCUUCAAUAAAUGGUGCUGGGAAAAUUGGACAGCUACAUGUAGAAGAAUGAAACUCAACCAUUCUCUUACACCAUACACAAAGAUAAACUCGAAAUGGAUAAAAGACCCCAGUGUGAGACAGGAAUCUGUCAAAAUUCUAGAGGAGGACAUAGGGAGUAAUCUCUUCAACAUUGGCCACAGCAAAUUCUUUCAAGAUAUGUCUCCAAAGGCAAAGGAAACAAAAGUGAAAAUGAACUUUUGGGACUUCAUCACUUGCGUUACUUUUAAACUGUGUCUGGGUUUUAAAACCUACUGAUUUUGUUUCCUUAAAAUAAUUUACUGUUAAAUGUUGACUUACAGUACCAGCAUGUUUCAUUGUACUGAAUUACUGUGAAAACAGCAAAUAUUUUGAAGACGUUUAUGGUCAA